AUUCGGGGAAGAGAGAAGGGAAGGGCCUCUUCGUCGGCGGCGACCGCGAGCUUCCGCUUCCGACAUAGCAUCGCCGCUCGCCGGAUCGGAGAGCGAGGGGAGCACGCCGUGCGCGAGGAGGGCAGCGGGGGCGCGCGGGGGAUACGGUUGGAGGCGCUUCAGCUACGGCCGGCCGAGGACCUGCGGCGAGUUGGUUCCUCUUCAGCUAUGCAUCAAGUAAUUAGAAUGCAAGAAGAACAUGGAAAUGAAGGAAUCUUGAAUAUCAUCAUUUCGCCUCUGCAAAGUUUCAGAGAUAUUAAUGAUCUCUUCAGCCAUGCGCAACGGCAUCAAAUAACUCGAAUGCAGGAAGAACAAGGAAAUGAAGAAAUCGUGAAGGGCAUCAUGCAACCUCUGCAAAGUUUAAGAGAUAUUAAUAAACUCAAAUAUUCUUGUUUCAAUUUUGGUGAGAGGCGUAUAUAUAGGUACUACCUUUCUGUUCGGACUAAGUUACAAUGUGCAAAUAGAUGCUAAUUUAUGUACUUGUCCAUUUGGUUGAUGUUAUGUUCCAUAUGAGAUCUCAAUAGUGACAGUUCAUUUUGCAUAUCGUAGCUGCUAAGUGCUGAUAUAUAUAAAUGAUGUACAGUUUGCAAUGUUACUUCAUGCAUGCACGUCUCUAUGCGAAGCUGCUUCGUCACAUUAGGUGUUUUUUUUUUUUUUACCAAAACAUUAGGUGUAUUUUUGCUCCAUCAUCUAUCUUGACUAUGGGCUCACCACAUAAGAACUAGUGAUGAGUAUGUGCAGUUCAUGGUUCAAAGAAACAUAUCUGUCAUUUUAGAUGUUAUCAGAUACGCAUACGGUUUCAAACUAGUGGGGAAUAUGUGGAAUUUUUAGACAGGUUUUGGAAUGCAGGGUUUUUCUCAGUUUUUUUUAAUUGAACCAUAUUCUUUUGAAAGGUUAGAUAAGAAAUAUUAGAGCCCAAUCCUUUUUGUUCAUAUGACUUACUACAUACUAUCUGACUAUCUGUCUUUUUCAUGAUUCACUAAAAUAUCAUGUCAUCCAAUGUCCUCUUCUUUUCUUUUUCUCUGCUGAAACAAUUGAGCAAGUCAAAAGGAAGAGGAAGGAGUGAUUAAGAAUAAUAGGAAUGGAAUGUAUUGGGAAACACACAGCCGAAUUUCCACCUCUAUCGUCAGAGAUGGAAACUAAAGGUUUAGGUUUCCUCCAUGUUCCCAUUCCAACCAUUCUUAGACCCUUUUUCUUCCUCUUCCCGACUCACUGUCAAGCCAUACAUCUAAAUGAUUUUGUUCUUCUCUACUAAAUUGGUGUUAGCCGAAAGUAAGAGGAACAAGGACCUAAGAACUGUAGGAAUGGGAGGCAUCAGGAAAAUCGUUAUACCAAAUCUCCAACUCCAGGAGUUAAAACCAAGCCUGAACCUCUUGAACAUUUUCUUCAGGGCUCUGGAGUAUAUAUAGACCUAUGCAGUGCAGGGCUGUGAGGGACAAAUGA
rnacentral:lncRNA from 1 species